GUAGAAGAAUGGUCCCAGCACCUCAUGCAGGGACAGCACUUCUAUGGACACACUUGGUUCAGAGUUUCAUGCAAAAUUUCUUUGAACUAGAUUAGAAUUAGAUAAAUAGUGCUUUCUAUUCCUGAACAGCCAUUGUGCACCAAAUAUUUGUGAAGCAGAUUCAGCAGAAAGCAGUAACAAAGCUGUUGCUUGUGCUGGCAUAGUGAAAACUAUUUACAAUUUGCUUUCUUGCAUCCCAUGAAGCCAAAAUACCCUACAAGGACUCUCUGGUACAAGAUGGACAGACUGUGAUAAUGAACAGCAGAUGAGGAUAUUUGUGGACAAAGUGGAUCAAGAAUCAGUCAUCACGCAGCAAUUGGUUUCACACAUCGUUUCACUUUCAGUGAAUUCUAUUGUGUUCAGGCCAUGUUAGCGACAAAGAAUGUCAGUGCGUCUGAAAGAAAACCAUGCCAAUCCAACUUCAAUCCUGCUCAGCACAGCAAUACGUAUGUUUGAGAGAACCAAUUUUAUUUUAGAUAUGAAGUGUGUUUAUGCAUUAAUAUCAUAUUUUUGUAGUCACAUCUGCAAAAUUUAAAACAAAUUUGAGUGAAACAUCUCAGAAAAUUAAGCAUAUAAACAUCUGCAGGACUAAAAAAUGCUACAAAAACAUGUACUUAAUAUGAACAGGAUGAUUGAUAUGCAAAACAGUUUAGAUGUUAUAAAGUCCAGGUCCAGUUUUCUGGCUUCAUUCAGCUUUGAAAUAAACAAAAAUGUACAGGUGUGCUCUAGCUUUUCUCAGUGACACAGAAACUAGGAAUGGAUUCAGCAUUUAUCACCAUUUAUAGGUCUCCACCCAUAUGCAGUGAAUGGCUCAUACCUUGGGAACUUUGAAUGAUGUAGUUCAGGAUGUGGCUUCUGGAUUGGGAUCCAUUUUUGGCUACUAAUCUUCAUGAAAUAUAUGCAAAAUCCUUGUCAUUUUAAAGCUUGUCUUACCAAGAUUGCUGUGGCAGUGAGUGAGGUUCUCAUUCCAUAUGAACUUAUCCCAAAAAAUGUCAUUGACUGGAUCACAGGUUGGUGCUUAGCAGGAAGAAAGCCAGACUAUUUAAUGUUAAAUUCCUGUAUUGAUCUAAAAAACUUGAAUGUUCAGUUUGUUUCUUUCAACAUGUAAUUUGAUUGUAUAAGAAAGAGGUGCCUUUCGUAGAUAUAUGGGCCAUAACAAAAGCACAAGCAGACAAAAAGUGUAUAUCAGAAGUGGAUUUUUUACAAGCAUUUUCACCAAACUGCUGUUUCUGUUUAUCUGAUUCCUAAAAAGUUUUAAGUAAGUUAAAAAAAAAUGUUUCUACUAUGUUGCUCAUGC
ensembl:lncRNA